GUGAACGCUGGCGGUAGGCCUAACACAUGCCAGUCGAACGGCAGCACAGUAAGAGCUUGCUCUUACGGGUGGCGAGUGGCGGACGGGUGAGGAAUACAUCGGAAUCUACUUUUUCGUGGGGGAUAACGUAGGGAAACUUACGCUAAUACCGCAUACGACCUACGGGUGAAAGCAGGGGAUCUUCGGACCUUGCGCGAUUGAAUGAGCCGAUGUCGGAUUAGCUAGUUGGCGGGGUAAAGGCCCACCAAGGCGACGAUCCGUAGCUGGUCUGAGAGGAUGAUCAGCCACACUGGAACUGAGACACGGUCCAGACUCCUACGGGAGGCAGCAGUGGGGAAUAUUGGACAAUGGGCGCAAGCCUGAUCCAGCCAUACCGCGUGGGUGAAGAAGGCCUUCGGGUUGUAAAGCCCUUUUGUUGGGAAAGAAAAGCAGCAGGUUAAUACCCCGCUGUUCUGACGGUACCCAAAGAAUAAGCACCAGCUAACUUCGUG
rnacentral:rRNA from 1 species